rnacentral:ncRNA from 16 species
AACUACGUCAUUAAAUCACUUCGUAUAAUCCCAAUAAUAUGGUUUGGGAGUUUCUACCAAGAUCCUUAAACUCUUGAUUAUGAAGUCUGUAACUUUAAAA